rnacentral:rRNA from 1 species
GACGAACCACACGAACGUUAUUCGGAAUUACUGGGCUUAAAGGGUGCGUAGGCGGCGCAGAAAGUUGGGUGUGAAAUCCCUCGGCUCAACCGAGGAACUGCGCCCAAAACUACUGUGCUUGAGGAAGAUAGAGGUAAGCGGAACUUACGGUGGAGCGGUGAAAUGCGUUGAUAUCGUAAGGAACACCUGUGGCGAAAGCGGCUUACUGGGUCUUUUCUGACGCUGAUGCACGAAAGCCAGGGGAGCAAAUGGG